CUUGAACGCCGGCGGCAUGCCUUACACAUGCAAGUCGAACGGUAACAGGUCUUCGGAUGCUGACGAGUGGCGAACGGGUGAGUAAUACAUCGGAACGUGCCCGAGAGUGGGGGAUAACGAAGCGAAAGCUUUGCUAAUACCGCAUACGAUCUCAGGAUGAAAGCAGGGGACCGCAAGGCCUUGCGCUCACGGAGCGGCCGAUGGCAGAUUAGGUAGUUGGUGGGAUAAAAGCUUACCAAGCCGACGAUCUGUAGCUGGUCUGAGAGGACGACCAGCCACACUGGGACUGAGACACGGCCCAGACUCCUACGGGAGGCAGCAGUGGGGAAUUUUGGACAAUGGGCGCAAGCCUGAUCCAGCCAUGCCGCGUGCAGGAUGAAGGCCUUCGGGUUGUAAACUGCUUUUGUACGGAACGAAAAGACUCCUUCUAAUAAAGGGGGUCCAUGACGGUACCGUAAGAAUAAGCACCGGCUAACUUCGUGCCAGCCGCCGCCGUAAUAC
rnacentral:rRNA from 1 species